CCUUGACGGGAAAGUUUUGGAGAGUUGUUACUAAUUUUACGUAGCGAAAACUUGGAUGUGCCGCGAAGUGCUGAGACAUUCUGUAUUUUUUAUUAUAGACGGAAGUUCCAGCUCUAACUGUAACUGCAGCGUUGUAAAUGAGCAAUUUCUCGCUGUUAAAGAGGAUAUCGGUUAAAAUCAUUUGUCUGUAAAAAGUUGGAUCAAAUGGAACGUAAGAAGCGCUUUAUAUUCCACAAGAUUAUAUAGCAAAUCAUUAUUCAUUUCAAAAACUCAACUUGCUCAUAAUAAAGCUGUAAUGACUGCUCUGGCGGAACAGAAAAUCGUCACGCAAAAGCUAAUUCGCCAGGAGUCAUUGGGAGCGCCAAUCGCAGAGCUUUUCCCACUUUCAAGUGAAGAAAGUCUAAAAGCGAUAGAGGAAAAAAUAUUGCCGGAGAAUCGGGAGAUUUACGUGUCCACCAUAAAAAGACUGCUGCGGCAAAGUGCCACCCGAAAUUUGAAGAAUAUAUUUGACGAUUCAGUUGUCCUCAGCCAAAUUUGGACGGGACGCACGGCAAGAAAAGACUCAAAACCUACGAGAAACUAUAUACUGCUCUUCUGUAUUCAGUUUCUCAACUCCCGAAGGUCGAAAAUGCAGAGGACAAUCUACGCAAGGCCAUCCGAAUGCAGAAAAAGCGCAUUUUUAAAACCAUAUCUGCAUCAAAAGCCACCACCCCUAUUUAAUUUUUUGUUUUCU